GAGCGAAGAGACUAGAAACUUGCUCCGGUGGAUUUAUCCCGGGCCGGGAAUAACACGUAGUGCACCUACUGGAAGACUGGAUAAACUUCGGAAAAACCGUAGCUAAUACCGGAGGAAUUUCGAACCGCAUGGUUCGGGAGUGAAAGAUUUCUUUGCGAUAACUUAUAGAUGGACCUGCGCCUGAUGAGCUAGUUGGUAAGGUAACGGCUUACCAAGGCAACGAUACGUAACCGACCUGAGAGGGUGAUCGGCCACACUGGAACUGAGACACGGUCCAGACUCCUACGGGAGGCAGCAGUAGGGAAUCUUCCGCAAUGGGCGAAAGCCUGACGGAGCAACGCCGCGUGAGUGAUGAAGGUCUUCGGAUCGUAAAACUCUGUUAUUAGGGAAGAACUAACGUGUAAGUAACUGUGCACGUCUUGACGGUACCUAAUCAGAAAGCCACGGCUAACUACGUGCCAGCAGCCGCGGUAAUACGUAGGUGGCAAGCGUUAUCCGGAAUUAUUGGGCGUAAAGCCCGCGUAGGCGGUUUUUUAAGUCUGAUGUGAAAGCCCACGGCUCAACCGUGGAGGGUCAUUGGAAACUGGAAAACUUGAGUGCAGAAGAGGAAAGUGGAAUUCCAUGUGUAGCGGUGAAAUGCGCAGAGAUAUGGAGGAACACCAGUGGCGAAGGCGACUUUCUGGUCCGUAACUGACGCUGAUGUGCGAAUCCUGGGGAUCAAACAGGCUUAGAUACCCGGGUGUCCACGCCGUAAACGAUGAUUGCUCAGUGGUAGGGGAUUCCCCCUCCCUCUGCUGCAGCUA
rnacentral:rRNA from 1 species